GGGACUUGUGUGAAGAUAGAGUUAGAUAAUUACAUGAUGGAAAUCAAAAAUCUAUUUAUGAAUGAAUCAAUCCAAGUUUACAUUAUAAAGAUCUGGAAGAAGCCUACUUGUGGAAGUUACAUUUUCAUCUUUACCAGGUACAGAUACUGAGACUGAAGAAUCACUCCAAGGUGCAUUCAUAUUUUGUCCUUGACUGUCCUGAGAGUAUGUUGAUACUUGUGUUGUUUGACUGUCAUGUGAAAGCUUCUCGAACGAUUUAAAUCUCAUUUCAUCGUCUGAUGUAGUACGUUUGAUUAUUGGUGCUUGCACGGGGAGUUUUCCUUCGAGCAUACUCACUACAGAAGACAUGGAUGGUCGGAGAGUAGGAGAGGGAUUCGUGCACAAAAGAGACACGUUUAUCAUCCGCAUUGCCUCUUUUUUGGAGUAAUUGGUACCGAGACGUGGAUCAACUAGUUCUAACAGAUUUCCCUGUUCUUGUAGGACGUAAGCCCAGUCAAGAAGGUAAACAAAUUCCUCUUUUGGUCUGUAGUUUGUGUUGCUUUUCCCACUGACAAUCUCUAAUAAAACAACUCCAAAGCUAUAAACAUCAGCUUUAUCUGUCAAGUAGCCUCUCAUUGCAUACUCCGGAGCCAUAUAACCUACUGUUCCAGCAAUUCGGGUGCUAAUAUGAGUGUUCUCUUCUUCAUCUAAUUUAGCCAAUCCAAAAUCUGAAAUCUUCGCGUUCAGAUCCUUAUCAAGAAGCACAUUCGUACACUUUAUAUCUCUAUGGACGAUUUUCAACCUUGAUUCUUCAUGAAGGUAAGCUAACCCUUUUGCUAUUCCUGAGCAUAUCCUUUUUCUGGUUGCCCAGUCUAUGUUUAAUCUCUGAU
rnacentral:misc_RNA from 1 species